AUUUUAUUUUAGUAUAUUUUUAUACGCCUAAAAUAUAGAAAACUCUAUUGUAAAUAUUUUUUUUUUUCACUUUUUCCCCCUACACAUCUAUAUUUUAGCUCAUCAAAAUUUCAAGUUGAUAUACUCAUUCUACCUUCGUUAGAGUUCAUUAUUUUUUCGUCUAUUUCUUAUAAUUUAUACCGAAAAUGCUUUUGAAAAUAAUAGAAAUAUAUUAUAAUUCUGUUUCUCCUCUAGAAUAAGUAAGGACAAUAUGGUCAUUUUCUUCUUUCAAUUAGCACGAUAACCUUCUAAAAACAUUUUGAAAUUUUGAUAGGGCAAAAU
rnacentral:lncRNA from 1 species